UAAUAGUUAGGACUACAAAACGACCGGUUAUAUUGUCAGUGUAAAUUUAGAAUGAUGUAACUAGCUAACUAACAGUUACAUAACAUAGUAUCCAUUCACUGCUUUGUCGCAUCCCUCUUCCUCAACGUUUUAAUUACGCUGAGAGACAACACAUUGUUGCGCGUUGUGAUUUCGGUGUCCUGUAUAUUCCAUGCCAGACUGAGAGGGGGUCAUUGAUAUGUCUGUUCAAGUCCAGCGGCAGUUUAGCUGCUAAUCCCAUUUUUUUCGCCAUUCAUGUUUCUAACUUAACCAUAAAACUCCCGUAAAAUGACUUUCAGCUCCAUUUUGGUUGUAUUCACAAACUCACAAUGUAUCCCUUGUUCGGCGCACCAGUCAGUGAAGCGGGAACCCGAUGGAGGAAAUGGAGGAAGUCAAAAGCUCCAGCUGAAAUGGAGGAAGUCAAAAGCUCCAGCUGAAAUGGAGGAAGUCAAAAGCUCCAGCUGAAAUGGAGGAAGUCAAAAGCUCUAGCUGAAAUGUCAUUAUCAGUUGUCCGACGAGAGAUGGAAAUACGAGUGUACAUAGUGUGAUUAUAGAUCAGAGGGCAUAAGUCUCAGAGGGGUAAACCUAAUCAUCAACUGUGAAUAUUAAUAAUAUUUUAUUUGUUCUUCGUGCUUUAUUUUUUUGUUUAUUUAUAAGUUAUUUCCAAGUUUAUAUAAUGUUGAACAGCAUGGAGUUCAUGUUCAAAGGGGGAACUGAUGAGUUCUAAACUUGAAAUAUCCUUUUUCAUGUUACUGAGGGAGAGAGGGGAUUGUAGAAUGUUUACGUUCCGUCAGAACAUGUUAUUGUUAGACAUCAGGUAUCCUAUGGAAAGGAGAAGGGUCACAGUCUGAUACAAGGACAGCCGUGAUUUGGGGAGGAGUGGGGAAUUUGGGCAGAGGUCAGGUUAGAUGAAGUGAGAAAGAACAGGCAUCACUAAAGUUUUGUCUAGCAACAGAGAUAUAGUGGCUAUCCCGAUGUGUAAGGAGGAGACUCCUUAGGAGGUAGGUUUAAACUCCAGUGCUUAUGUAAAUAUGUUUUUGUCUUACGCAACUGUGUGACCCAGUGGGUGAAUAAACUUGGUUUGAGUUUUUAA